AAUCAAAUAAUUAGUCAUGUAAAUCACUUUUAAAAGGCUUUUAAAAUCCCUUGUAAAUACUUAUCGAACACUGCUUAUCCUUUAAAAACGGCUUAAAAUCUUUAAAACUCCAUUUAGAAGCUUUUAAAAUCCCUUAUAAAAACGAUAAUCACAAAGAAUUAUAAUUUCAAUAAUUAUAAUAAGCCUUUUUA
rnacentral:sRNA from 1 species